GACGAACGCUGGCGGCGUGCUUAACACAUGCAAGUCGAACGGAAAGGCCCUGCUUUUGUGGGGUGCUCGAGUGGCGAACGGGUGAGUAACACGUGAGUAACCUGCCCUUGUCUUUGGGAUAACUUCAGGAAACUGGGGCUAAUACCGGAUAGGAGCUCCUGCUGCAUGGUGGGGGUUGGAAAGUUUCGGCGGUUGGGGAUGGACUCGCGGCUUAUCAGCUUGUUGGUGGGGUAGUGGCUUACCAAGGCUUUGACGGGUAGCCGGCCUGAGAGGGUGACCGGCCACAAUGGGACUGAGAGACGGCCCAGACGCCUACGGGAGGCAGCAGUGGGGAAUAUUGCACAAUGGGCGGAAGCCUGAUGCAGCAGCGCCGCGUGCGGAAUGACGGCCUUCGGGUUGUAAACCGCUUUCGCCUGUGACGAAGCGGGAGUGACGGUAAUGGGUAAAGAAGCACCGGCUAACUACGUG
rnacentral:rRNA from 1 species